rnacentral:rRNA from 1 species
AGUGAACGCUGGCGGUAGGCCUAACACAUGCAAGUCGAACGGCAGCACAGUGAGAGCUUGCUCUUACGGGUGGCGAGUGGCGGACGGGUGAGGAAUACAUCGGAAUCUACUUUUUCGUGGGGGAUAACGUAGGGAAACUUACGCUAAUACCGCAUACGACCUACGGGUGAAAGCAGGGGAUCUUCGGACCUUGCGCGAUUGAAUGAGCCGAUGUCGGAUUAGCUAGUUGGCGGGGUAAAGGCCCACCAAGGCGACGAUCCGUAGCUGGUCUGAGAGGAUGAUCAGCCACACUGGAACUGAGACACGGUCCAGACUCCUACGGGAGGCAGCAGUGGGGAAUAUUGGACAAUGGGCGCAAGCCUGAUCCAGCCAUACCGCGUGGGUGAAGAAGGCCUUCGGGUUGUAAAGCCCUUUUGUUGGGAAAGAAAAGCAGCAGGUUAAUACCCCGCUGUUCUGACGGUACCCAAAGAAUAGGCACCGGCUAACUUCGUG